rfam:Podospora anserina genomic DNA, chromosome 1.
GGUGAGAUGGCCGAGCGGUCUAAGGCGCCACGUUAAGGUAUUCCUUAAUCAAUAUCUCCUAGCAGAUUCCGUGGUCCGAAAGGGCGUGGGUUCGAAUCCCACUCUCAUCA